UUGUUACCGUAAACAAUAUUGACUGGGAGCAAGUCGGCGUUUCCAAGAACCCGAUGUGAACCCCACGGGAAACCUCAAGUUCAAUUACUGGGGGAGUACGAUUGCAAAUUCGAAACUUAAAGGAAUUGACGGAAGGGCACCACCAGGGGUGGAGCCUGCGGCUUAAUUUGACUCAACACGGGGAAACUCACCCGGCCCGGACACCGGAAGGAUUGACAGAUUGAGAGCUCUUUCUUGAUUCGGUGGGUGGUGGUGCAUGGCCGUUCUUAGUUGGUGGAGUGAUUUGUCUGGUUAAUUCCGAUAACGAACGAGACUCUGGCCUACUAAAUAGUCGUCGGAUCGCUUCAGUCCGACUGACUUCUUAGAGGGACAAGCAGUGCUUAGCUGCAUGAAAAAGAGCAAUAACAGGUCUGUGAUGCCCUUAGAUGUCCGGGGCUGCACGCGCGCUACACUGAAGGAAUCAGCGUGUGGGUUUGCCUGGCUCGAAAGAGCUGGGUAAUCCGGUGAAAAUCCUUCGUGAUUGGGAUCGGGACUUGCAAUUAUUUCCCUUGAACGAGGAAUCCCUAGUAAGUACGGGUCAUCAGCUCGUGCUG
rnacentral:rRNA from 1 species